CCUGCAUCAAUGAAUCACAAGUCCUGUAUUCCAUGUGCAUUUAUGUCAUAAGCAAAGAGUAAUCUUUAACAUGUUCCUUCGGGAAGUGUCGUUUGUGCCCGUGUGAAUCAACAGAAGAAGGGGCUGUCUAUCAAUGCUUGGACUUCACUCCCUCCUCACCUCCACCUCUUAGAAUUGCUUGUUUUUCUCAAGAUUGAGAUCAAGCAAUAUCUACAAC